CAUUUCUCCCGCUCGGCUGCCGGAGGGCGAGCGGGGGGCCCUGGCCAGACGGACCCUCCGGCCGCCGCGUCCGCGGGGAGACCGCCCCGAAGCGGGGCGGGGGGGGGGCCGGGGGCUGCCCCGCAGCGCGGCGGAGCUCGGGGCUUGGCCCACGGGCGGCAGCGGGUCCCGGCUCCCUCCCCACGGCAACGGGUCCCGGCUGCCCCGGCGCUCUGGCUGGCUCGGCACUCCCCCGGCGGAGCAGCCCGGGCGGCGCGGGCAACCCAGCCCCCGCAGCCUGCCGGGGAUCCCCGGGGAUCCCGCUCGGUACGGCCGGACCGGGCUGACGGCAGCCGCGCUCUUCUGCCUGCCCCUUUGCUGUUCUACACCAAGGCGCCGCGUCGAUCUGCGUUAUUAGCUGCGUUGAAUAUGGCAGAAAGUACCGGUCGGUAAGAAUGUAUCACGAACGUAGAGCAGUAAAUGAACUGGUAUGGCCACAAGGGAAGUCUGUGUCCCCACGGCAGUCCUCUUUCACCCAAGUGCGUGAUUCCUUUCACUAAUGCCCACACGCCCCACCAUACACACAGGCGUACGUGCCUUCCCUCUUUCUGAGGGAGCGUCGGUUCCCCAGGCCGGCCCGGAGCCUCUGCAGCUGGAAGGGGCAGCAGCACACCUCUGCUCCGAGGAGCCUGAGCCCAGCGGCACAAACUGCUGUCAUCGCAGCGAGAGGGCUUGAACUAUUUCACGUUUGCCCUUGCCAAAACCAUCUGCUGUGCAAUUGCAGGGCCAUCGAUUCGGAGCUGUGAGCCGCGAGCCACCGUGCCUUACCGGCAGCCAGCUUUGCUCUGAGCUGCGCCCGUCUCUCGGCUCCGAAGGCCCCCGAAGUAUGCCGCUGCGCGGGGGGAGCCCAUCGCCAUCCUGCCCGGCGGAGCCCCGGGAAGAGGGGUUCGACUGUAGUUUCCUCCAGCACCCACACCUCCAGCACCACACUCGCAGAGACGGGUGAAGAGAAGGGCCUGGCCCUUCAGCGCUGCAAAACUGGCUGGCUGACCCGAACCGUCCAUAAAAGGCUGAGUCCAGGGAUUCACCUGCGCCCACAGCCCUGCACGCCCCACUCAUGUUGGUGCUGGUUGUGGCACAGGCACGGGUGAACUUUCUCUUAAAAUAGCUAGCACAAGCUGGCCAGGGCCGGCACAGAUAGUUUUCACCUGCUUUAAACAAAUAUUGCAAGUGUUUUCUUUUGGUGUUUUGAAA